UCUAGGGUUUCAUUUAUAGCCACUCUCUUUUACCUUUACUCCGAUUUCGUUACGGAUAUAUUGAUUCAGCUUAAAUAUGAUCUAUUUAUGGAUUAUUUAAUGUUUAUUGUGAUUGGAUGGGCCGCAACGACGUCGUUGUCUAGGAUACUUCUUGGUCGUCAUUUCAUGUUCGAUGUUGUUGCUGGUGUAUUUUUGGGUGUUCUUGAAGGGAUGUUUGUGUUUUGGAUUUUCAAUUAUGUGACUUUGACUUCAUUCUUGAGAUGAUAAAGUUGUAAGCUUUAAUCCUUUUUGGUUUGUGAUUGUUAAUGUUGACGUAAAAUUUAUUUGAAUGUUAGAAAUUUUUUCUCAAUUUGUAUCUCUCUUAAGGCUUUACUGUGUUAAAAACCAAAUAUUUGAGUAUUAGAAUGACACUGUGCAGCGAUGGAGUUAGGAAUUUAUAAGGGGAUAGGAUAUAUUGAUUCAGCUUAAAUAUGAUUUAUUUGUGGAUUAUUUAAUGCUUAGUGUGAUCGGAUGGGCCGCAACGACAUCGUUGUCUAGGAUACUUCUUGGCCGUCAUUUCGUGUUCGAUGUUGUUGCUGGUGUAUUUUUGGGUGUUCUU
rnacentral:lncRNA from 1 species